rnacentral:rRNA from 1 species
UACGUAGGGACCGAGCGUUGUCCGGAAUCAUUGGGCGUAAAGAGCGUGUAGGCGGCCCGAUAAGUCCGCUGUGAAAGUCCAGGGCUCAACCCUGGGAUGCCGGUGGAUACUGUCGGGCUCGAGUCCGGAAGAGGAGUGUGGAAUUCCUGGUGUAGCGGUGAAAUGCGCAGAUAUCAGGAGGAACACCAAUGGCGAAGGCAGCACUCUGGGACGUGACUGACGCUGAGACGCGAAAGCGUGGGGAGCAAACAGG